GCUCUCCUCAUGAACUUUGGGGAGAGUUCAGCAAUCAUGUUUGGCCUCGGAGAUCUGUCUGGAGUGUGGAGACUGAAGCUGAGAAACCCAGAUUUCCCUAGCGUGGGCCCUGUAAUGAAGACUCACCCGAGGGUCUACCGCUACAUGAUAUUCAAUAUGAUGAAAGCGCAAGUGGCUUCAUGCUGGAGCUUGGCAUGCGGGAAGCAGUGAGCUGUAACUAUACCUGUUAAAGUACAGGUCGAGCAUUCUUAAACUGGAAAUCUGAAAUCUUAGAUGUUCCAAAAUCCAAAGCUUUUGAGAACCAAUGUGAUGCCGCAGAUGGAAAAUUGUACAUCUACCUUCAUGUUAUGUGUCACAGUGAAAGCACGGGCACUUUCAAAGUGCUGUACAAAAGUACUUUCAGAAGCAUAUGGAACUUGGAAGUUAUGGUUAAAAAUAAAUGAAGACAAUAUUACAUCAAAACCAUUCCAGAGCUCAAAGGGGGCUGGAGGCUGUUUCCAUGGCACCCGCUGUGGCGGCCUACCAGCUGAGUUUGGCAUCGCUGCCUCCACAAAACAGGCCGAACUUUUGUUUGCUACAGCAGCACUAAGACUCCAAAGGCCCAUGUUGACAGAUCUAUCUGGUAUUAAUUCCAGACCCAAGCCCAUCUACUUGCCACUCAAAGCCAAUCCUUGGAGAUGAGAAUUGGUGGGAAGCAAAUCAGGUUUAUUCAAGAUCUGAGAAGAUAGAACUGAACCACUGUCCUUACAAAAGACCAUAUUGGGGAACUCAGGCCCACGAAAGGGCUUUUAUACAGUGGAGAGAAGCAGGGUGACACCAUGACCAGAAGACUGAGCUGAGUAUGGUUCCCCCCCCCCCCGGCCAGAAUAUCAAAAUUGACGUUGGUCUCUUGGGGCUAGUUCCUGUAAUUCUUCAGUCAAAUAUCCCAGAAGGUUAAAUUUCAUAGCAAUUUACAUGUUUCAUGUUAAACAUGCAAUACACAAUUGAUGUACAGAAUGAAAAUAAGGAAGGGCAUUACACAUUCUGGUGUGAUCCCAGGCUCUCUGGACAUCUUGGGUUUUGUAAAUCUAGAGAAAUAUUAUGUAGCAGUUAACAUGUGAAUCAUUUAGGCGUGGUUUGUCUUUAGAAUUUAGAAUGAUAGCCAAAGAGAGGGAAAUUCAAAGGCAGGUCACAAAGGGGAAGCCUCUGUCACAGUACCAUCUCCCACUCUUUCUCCUUCCUCUGCCACAGCCUCUGGACAAGUUUUGCAGUCAUCUCAUUCAUCUAUCUUUCAUU
rnacentral:lncRNA from 1 species